rnacentral:snoRNA from 10 species
GCAGACUCACUCUGCACCUGGCUGCAGCCCCAGGCGGGUGCUUUUUCCGUCUGCCAGAGUAACAUCCCAGGGUGCUGUGACCACCUUGACCUGUCAUGGGUGAUGCAGUUGUCUGGGGACACGGUG